GGCCCGGCCCUCUGUCCCGAGGGCAGGGAGGCUGCCCGGGGCGCCCCCGAGGACGCGUCAGCCACCGCUGCCCUUUGAUUCCUCGGGGCCCGCCCCCUGGACCCCAGUCCUGACGGUGCCGCGACCCCCCCGACCCCCGAGGCAGCGGCACCGCACCGUCAGGGAGAGGGGAAACCGCGCUCCCAGCGGUUAACUGUAGGGAGCCUGUGAAGCAGAACUUGGCCUCAGCCGAGUGGGGCUGGAUGUGGAUGGCCUCGAAGUCCUCUCCUCCAUUUAAUGAUUCGUUUGCCCCCCGCUGACGCCGAGCGCUGACCCUUCUGAAACCUAGUCCGGGGCAGGCAGGGUUUCUCCGGGACCCCAAGGGCAGGACUGGCAGGACUGACGGUGGACUAUCCUCAACUCAGUUUGCCACCCAGGACGGCAAAAGGACCAAACGGAAGGUGAUGGGGAUUGAGAAGUCUUGGAAAUCCUUGUGUAGUAUAAUCCCCUCUUCUCUACACUAGAAAUACAGGAUGAAAGCGAACAUUUUUAUAAUCCUCCCCUCCUCACCACAUUUAGUUCCCUGGUGUUGAACAUGUGGGCUUGAUUAAAGGAGAGAAAGAGCCACGGAGAGGAGUUAGAUUCUCCAUCCCCUCCUUCCCCUCAGCCACCAAGGCCCCAAGCGUGGAGGGCAGGGCCCGGGCCUCGUCGUCUCAUCGUGGUGUGUCUAUCAGAGGACUCAACACGUCAUGAUUCAUCGUCGUGAUUCUGAAUGAAUGGUUUACUCAGUGAAGGGGUGGGCAGUCGCAGUGGAAUCUCAAGUCAAAGAAGUAUUCGGUGGAACAGUGUAACUCCUGUGUGGAGUACAGGCUCCUGGGAGUGGUGCUUUAUUGAUUUUAUUACAACUUAUUUGCAACGAGGAGGAACUGUCUUCCAAAAAGGUUUGCUCCAGUGCCUGUAUCAGCCACUCACCACUUCAGAGGACCCAGCUGAGCAUGGAAGGCAGCGGGGGACAGAGGAGAGAGAAGUGGCAGGAGCCAGGGUUGAAUUCAUCGAGGUUUUUAGCCACAUGCAUCAAGUGGCGAUCACCUUUCCAGCAUCCUUUCACUGCCUCCAACACCCUGAAAUCCAGGAAAACAAGACUGGACAAAAACCCAGGAAUGUACAAAGGGGAGUUACUUCCUUCUUCCCCCCCCCCCCCAAGUUCCUUCCUUACAUCCUUAGUUCUCCUACAAUGCACUUCUUUUCAUUUGCUAAUUCGCCUCAGAGAGACUGACUAUAUGUGCUGCUUUUCCUCUAGCUUGGAAACUUGGAUUAUAGCAAUUUAACAUUAUAACAUAAUUCCACUGCAAUAAAGCAAUUUGGGGCUGGCAGUGUGAUGGAGUGGAUGUCGGUGGAAGUGGGGAGUUUACUACAAUGGAUUUUUUUUU